UACGAGGGGGGCGAGCGUUGUUCGGAAUUAUUGGGCGUAAAGGGUGCGUAGGCGGUUCCGCAAGUCCUGUGUGAAAUCUUCGGGCUCAACUCGAAGUCUGCACGGGAAACUGCGGGGCUUGAGUGUGGGAGAGGUGAGUGGAAUUCCCCGGUGUAGCGGUGAAAUGCGUAGAUAUCGGGAGGAACACCUGUGGCGAAAGCGGCUCACUGGACCAUAACUGACGCUGAUGCACGAAAGCUGGGGGAGCAAACAGG
rnacentral:rRNA from 1 species